AGUAGCGUGGCUUAGUGGAAAGAGCCCGGGCUUGGGAGUCAGAGGUCGUGGGUUCUAAUCCCGCCCCUGCCA
rnacentral:tRNA from 1 species